rnacentral:rRNA from 1 species
AGCAGUGAGGAAUAUUGGUCAAUGGGCGCAAGCCUGAACCAGCCAUGCCGCGUGAACGAUGAAGGUCGCUAUGCAUUGUAAACUUCUUUUAUAGGGGAAGAAAUCAUCUUCGGGUAGAGGAUUGACGGUACCAAAAGAAUAAGCAUCGGCUAACUCCGUGCCAGCAGCCGCGGUAAUACGGAGGGUGCGAGUGUUAUCCGGAUUUAGUGGGUAUAAAGGGUGCGUAGGCGGAUUAAUAAGUCAGUGAAGAAACCGGCAGCUUAACGGAAGAACUGCCAUUGAUACUGUUUUUCUUGAGUGAAGGGAGGUAGGAGGAAUGUGUUAUGUAGCGGUGAAAUGCUUAGAUAUGACACAGAACACCGAUUGCGAAGGCAGCUUACUAGGAUAUUACUGACACUGAGGCAAGAAAGCGUGGGGAACAAACAGGAUUAGAUACCCUGGUAGUCCACGCAAUAAACGAUGAAUCACUCGUGUGGCGAUACACAGUCAGUGGCUAAGCGAACGCGUUAAGUAUCCAC